rnacentral:rRNA from 1 species
GACGAACGCUGGCGGCGUGCCUAAUACAUGCAAGUCGAACGCUGAAGGAGGAGCUUGCUUCUCUGGAUGAGUUGCGAACGGGUGAGUAACGCGUAGGUAACCUGCCUGGUAGCGGGGGAUAACUAUUGGAAACGAUAGCUAAUACCGCAUAAGAGUAGAUGUUGCAUGACAUUUGCUUAAAAGGUGCAAUUGCAUCACUACCAGAUGGACCUGCGUUGUAUUAGCUAGUUGGUGGGGUAACGGCUCACCAAGGCGACGAUACAUAGCCGGCCUGAGAGGGGGAUCGGCCAAACUGGUAAUGAGACACGGCCCAGACUCCUACGGGAGGCAGCAGUAGGGAAUCUUCGGCAAUAGACGGAAGUCUGACCGAGCAACGCCGCGUGAGUGAAGAAGGGUGUCGGAUCGUAAAGCUCGGUUGUAAGAGAAGAACGAGUGUGAGAGUGGAAAGUUCACACUGUGACGGUAGCUUACCAGAAAGGGACGGCUAACUACGUG